rnacentral:rRNA from 1 species
UCCUCCGCUUAUUGAUAUGCUUAAACUUGGCGGGUGGUCUCGC